rnacentral:rRNA from 1 species
CUACGGGUCGCAGCAGUGGGGAAUAUUGCACAAUGGGCGCAAGCCUGAUGCAGCCAUGCCGCGUGUAUGAAGAAGGCCUUCGGGUUGUAAAGUACUUUCAGCGGGGAGGAAGGGAGUAAAGUUAAUACCUUUGCUCAUUGACGUUACCCGCAGAAGAAGCACCGGCUAACUCCGUGCCAGCAGCCGCGGUAAUACGGAGGGUGCAAGCGGUAAUCGGAAUUACUGGGCGUAAAGCGCACGCAGGCGGUUUGUUAAGUCAGAUGUGAAAUCCCCGGGCUCAACCUGGGAACUGCAUCUGAUACUGGCAAGCUUGAGUCUCGUAGAGGGGGGUAGAAUUCCAGGUGUAGCGGUGACAUGCGUAGAGAUCUGGAGGAAUACCGGUGGCGAAGGCGGCCCCCUGGACGAAGACUGACGCUCAGGUGCGAAAGCGUGGGGAGCAAACAGGAUUAGAUACCCCUGUAGUC